AUGGCACUGUUUCAGUUAUGCAAUACUUGCAGUUAACCAUAAGAGGGCAGUAGUUACUCAUUAUUUCCUUUGACAAUACUGAAGCUUUAUUGGGUAUCCACAAGCUCCUCCUUGGAUCAUCAUUAUUAUAAUACUAAAAGUAAAAUUCUCCCACUGCUGAUUUAUCUGAACUUCAAGGUUUAUUCAGCAGUCAUGUCACACAAGUUGAGGAAUAUAUUUCUCUUCACACUCUUCAUUCUUGAGUGCAGAUCAGAGGACACAGUUGAUCAGCCAGACAAACAUGUGACUGAAGCUGAAGGAAGAUCAGUGACAUUACAGUGUAAAUAUAAAACAGAUUCAACAGGAGAAUAUUUAUUCUGGUACAUCCAGAGAGCAAAUGACUUUCCUAAAUACAUCCUGAGGAGAAGCAAAUAUGGAGGAGAAAAUGGCACUGAGUUCCAGGAGAGAUUUCACUCUGAACUUUCAUCAAAUUCAGUUCCUCUGAAGAUCAAGGAUCUGCGUGUGUCUGACUCUGCUGUGUAUUACUGUGCUCUGAGGCCCACAGUCACAGGAAACACAUCAGAUACAAAAACCUGUUACACAGAGACACGGACGAACACAGAUAGAAAGAAACAGGAACUGACAAUCACAGCAUUUUGUCAGAAAAUGAGAAUGGAGAGAGGCGUUGGAGAAUGA